rnacentral:rRNA from 1 species
UAGGGAAUCUUCCACAACGGGCGCAAGCCUGAUGGAGCAACACCGCGUGAGUGAAGAAGGGUUUCGGCUCGUAAAGCUCUGUUGUUAAAGAAGAACACGUAUGAGAGCAACUGUUCAUACGUUGACGGUAUUUAACCAGAAAGUCACGGCUAACUACGUGCCAG